GCGCCUCCCAAUUGCGUAAUCUCCCUUUUUCCUUUUUUUUUUUCAUCUCAUAUUUAUUUAAGUCUGGGCCUACGAAGUCUUAUGCUUUCCCUUUUUUGGAGAAAAUUUGGUUUGUUCCUUUUUCUUGACCAGACCAUUGACCACCGCUGGUGACUUGAGGUUUUGUUGAAGCCGCAAUCAAUUUUUCUGAAAUUUCCUCAUCAAGAUGUUUCGCAGGCAGCGCUCUUCUCGUACAUCUUCUCGUCUAAGAUUCCUUCUGGGAGCAGGUGGCUACAUCUUCCCUUACCCAAAUCGUCACAAUUUGCGUCUGAUUCGAGCUCUGAUGGGCCUAGUCCGCCACCUGGAAAUUGUGAUUUACUUCAACAAUUUACCUGAUAUACUUCUUAUAUUUUUCUUAACAAUUUGAUAAAUCUGAUCUUGUUUAUCUGUUUUUCAAAGCAGAAGUCUGGCUUUUUUGCACUUUGUCCCAAUUAAAGCAGAACCGAAAGUUUAUUUUUAUAUUUUGGAUCACUGCCUGCACUUUCUGAAUUUUCCAUUCCAAUAAAGUUGCACAACUUCUUGCA